CUUUGUACAAAGAUUCUUUCAGGUCGCAGUGAGGGGGACCAUUCAAGCACCCUGAGCCUGUUGGAGAAAAGGUAGGCUCUAAAUGGAAUCAUACAUCAAAUAUGCAAACUAACUAUUCCAAAGAGCUUGUAUUGAGCAACAUUGGUUAUUCAAUCCCUUUUUCAGAAGAGCUGUGAACUCGAAAGCCGAAUGUGGUCGCUCUCCGUGCUUCUACCUGGAGGGACUUCUCUUGUCGGGACACCACUGCAGGGGAGGCCCUUUCCUGUGCCAUCACCACACAAUAAGGUGCAUCUCAGGGACGCAAGAAAUAGAAUUUUGCAAGCCUUCAGGGAACUUAACGGCAAGUGAACUUCACAUUCCACAAUUCAGUGAUCUUUUUCAGUACAAUCCUUUUGGGCUGGCUUCUCCAUUUCCCCCCGCUUGAUCUCUUCACAGUUCUGUCCAAGAGCCCAUCACACUCAGGUGAAGCCAGCUCUUCCUGCAGAAGUCAGACCAGCAGAAGGAACUUCCAGGCCCAUGAAUUCACACUUCGGAGGGACUAACAAAAAGGUGAGCAUAAAUGCAGAGUUUGAAGACUGGAACCAGUCUCUCU